rnacentral:lncRNA from 1 species
CAGGCUCCAGUCUCAGCUGAGUAGCAGUAUGGGACAGUGAGAGCAACAACAGUCAGGGAGACAAGAUAAAAAGGCAAUUUAGGCCACCAUCCUAAUCACUGUCUGAAGACAUCUAUCACCUACCAUCAAUGAUUAAGGGAACUUCAGGUGAAUAAGCCUCUAAUGCAGAUAUCUUAAAUAAACAUCUAAGGUUAUAUGGAGACUUCCAUGGGAACUUUGUGACAUCCUCCAGGAUAAAGCUGAAAGACUGGCAAGACCUCUUGGAAUUCAGGCACCAAAAGACUGACCUGUCGUUUGUA